rnacentral:tRNA from 1 species
GGCCCGUUGGUCAAGUGGUCAAGAUGUCGCAUUCUCAGUGCGAAGACAGGGGUUCGACUCCCCUACGGGCUG